rnacentral:rRNA from 1 species
UACGGAGGGUGCAAGCGUUUAUCCGGAUUUACUGGGUUUAAAGGGUGCGUAGGUGGGUAGGAAAGUCAGUGGUGAAAUCUUCGGGCUUAACCCGGAAACUGCCAUUGAUACUAUUUAUCUUGAAUACUUUGGAGGUAAGCGGAAUAUGUCAUGUAGCGGUGAAAUGCUUAGAUAUGACAUAGAACACCAAUUGUCGAAGGCAGCUUACUACACAGUUAUUGACACUGAGGCACGAAAGCGUGGGGAUCAAACAGG